rnacentral:tRNA from 1 species
GAGGGUAUGGCUCAGUGGUAGAGCGUGUGCUUAGCAUGCAUGAGGUCCUGGGUUCAAUUCCCCAGUACCUCCA